rnacentral:lncRNA from 1 species
UUUUCUUGGUUGGUUUUUAAGUACAAGACGCUAUUUCACUACGUGAAAGUCACUUCACAAUGUUAAUAGCUACAGCAACAGUACAUAAGGUUAUCCAUAGUUUAUAGAAAAAUUCAGCUUUGUAUGCAUUCUGCAUUCUCAAAAACACUAAUUAGUUCUACUCGAACAAAAAUAUUAAAAGUUUAUUAAACGGGAUCAAAAUGAAAUAUAUAAGCAAACUUCAUGAUUUAACUGUAAUGUUAAACUUAGUAACACAAAAGGAAACUUCUAACUCCUGCUUGCAUGUAAGAAAGGUUUAUUAUACCAACAUUGGUAUAAAAUGACCGCGUUCGCCUAAAAACAGCGAAGAACGGUGUGGCCUGCGGCUUGCUAGACCAUACUGGAACGAACACUUUACUCCAAUACUAAGACUUCUGCAAUAAAAUUGCACAAUAAUACUCAAACUAAACUGGAACUUCCACCUUUCAGGUGCUAACUAUUUGCCGGUAACCACAUCUCGCGGUCCGAGGCAACCGCUCGAUAACUUCUACCACUGAACUCUCAGAUGGAACUCUCCUCUAGCACUCUCAAAUGAAACUCUCCUCUAGCACUCUCAAAUGGAACUGACUUACUUGAUCCCCUCAAACUAUAAUCUCUAAAAAUCAACGCCCUCUCAAAAUCAUCACAGGAUCUGUCCCAUCGACCAAUUACAGAUUCUAAUUCCUAAUUAAUCAGAUCUUCACUAAUCAGAAAACCUAAAUCAUACUACGCCAAACCACCAAUUUGACGCCAUGCAAAA